UACGGAGGAUCCGAGCGUUAUCCGGAUUUAUUGGGUUUAAAGGGUGCGUAGGCGGGAGAUUAAGUCGGUGGUGAAAUUUUGCAGCUCAACUGUAAAAGUGCCAUUGAUACUGGUUUCCUUGAGUGUGGAUGAAGUAGGCGGAAUUUGUGGUGUAGCGGUGAAAUGCAUAGAUAUCACGAGGAACUCCGAUUACGCAGGCAGCUUACUAAACCAUAACUGACGCUCAGGCACGAAGGCGUGGGGAUCAAACAGGAUUAGAUACCCCUGUA
rnacentral:rRNA from 1 species